GACAGAGGGUGCAAACGUUGCUCGGAAUCACUGGGCGUAAAGGGCGUGUAGGCGGGCAGGUAAGUCGGGCGUGAAAUCCCUGGGCUCAACCCAGGAACUGCACUCGAAACUACUUGUCUUGAGUGUCGAAGAGGAAAGCGGAAUUCCUGGUGUAGAGGUGAAAUUCGUAGAUAUCAGGAGGAACACCAGUGGCGAAGGCGGCUUUCUGGACGAUAACUGACGCUGAGACGCGAAAGCGUGGGGAGCAAACAGG
rnacentral:rRNA from 1 species